UACGGAGGGUGCGAGCGUUAAUCGGAAUUACUGGGCGUAAAGAGUGCGUAGGUGGUUGAUUAAGUUAUCUGUGAAAUCCCUGGGCUUAACCUGGGCAGGUCAGAUGAUACUGAUUGACUCGAGUACGGGAGAGGGUAGUGGAAUUUCCGGUGUAGCGGUGAAAUGCGUAGAGAUCGGAAGGAACACCAGUGGCGAAGGCGGCUACCUGGCCUGAUACUGACACUGAGGCACGAAAGCGUGGGGAGCAAACAGG
rnacentral:rRNA from 1 species